ACUUCAUCUGCUAGUUAAGCAAUUGCAAGCUUUUUUUUGGGGGGGAAAGAGUAUGUAACUCUAGUGUUUUGUCCAUCUGUCAGCAACUGCAAAAGUGGUCUCCGUGGCAUAUCCUACUUAUUCCUACUUCAACCGCUGUUUCGAAGUACCUACACAAGACUGACUCCUCCAACCAGGUGCCAGGGUUCCUGCACAUCUGAAGGAAGACUGUCAGACCUGAAGACACUGCUUACAAAACAUGUCCAUGUGGGUAUUAUUAGCAAAAGCAUCUAUUUUAAAGAUCCUGGUCCCCGGGCCGGGACUGGCAAGAUGCCUGUUGAUUUCAGUGGGAAGAGGAUCAGGCCCAGUCCUGCAGAUGUUACUCACGCAAGUGCUCGGCUCCACCCAUUGUUUCUCACAUCACUGCAUGCUCUACUACUUAAAACACAGGGACAGAAUGGAACAAUGGAGCCUGGCACACAGUGCUGCCCUUAUUACAUGCUGCCCCUCAAAGCUCUUUGUCACCACUUGGCUGCGGACUGAUAACACGCAGCCUUUUGCACCUACAAUUGCCAAUAUCGGGCCAUUUGCAAUCGGAUCUUAGUGGGAGUCAUGCACCCAUCGUCUUUGUGUGUCAAGGACCACGGCUUUUCUGGCCUGUGGGAAAGUCAAAAAUCAACAAAACCAUCUCAAAUACUGCGGCAUUUGCUCUUUUUCUUGAAGUCCCAGUUCCUGGAGUCAUGUUUCUUCUUGAGAAACUUGGCUUUCAGUUAAAAACUAAUCUUUCCGGGUUCCCAUAAUUGCAGAGGAUAGCCUGAAAAUCUGGCUUCAGAGUUUCCCAAGAGGAAAUAAAAAGCCAAUAAACAAAUAAAAAGAACUGGAAGUUUUUCUUGGUUUGAUGUCAUUUGUUGAUUUUUCUUAACAUCACUAUUUUAAGCAGUUCUCCUUUUUUUUGUGUCCUGUCAAAUUAUUUUUGAGUGCUUUAGAAUUUUGCUCUAAGCUAAAUCCUGAUUCAGGCUGCCAUCACUGAAGAUUAAAAAAAAAAAAUGUUUCUUCACUUGUUUGUCAGCAUUAUCCAAUAUUCAUUAAUUAUAUUUUUAUACCCAUUCUUUUAUAGUGAUGCUUUAAACCUCUUUAUUGGAUUAGAGACAAACUUGAGAAACAAAGUCCAUUCGCAAUCUAGAAAACCCUCAAGGCAACUGAGACACUUGGAUCUCAUUUUAUGCUUAUGAAGCUGGUGUAGAAAUUGUAAAAAUAUACCUGUGAGAUACUCUAGACUGAGAAACAAAAGCUGACUGUGGCCCCUUUGCAAUUGGAUAAUUUACAAAUAAGUAUGUAAUGGGGCUUUAGUUGCUGACCUGUGUAAUGUUCACUAUUUCAGUAUUUUCAACUCAAAUAAAAUGCUGCUCAUUAGAAAAAUGUUCAGCUUGCAUUAUUUCAGUACUCAAAACUGCUAUUCUCUAAGCAGAACUGAAAUAGAAAACAGGGAUUUAUUUUAUUUAUAUGUAUAUAUGUAUCUACACAUACAAAUACACUUUACUCUUCCCUCUCUACUUUCUGCCUUUACAAGACAAAAUACGCAGAUUGGACAACUGCAGACAUUAGGAAGAAACCCUUACAAUGCUUAAAGAAAAGAAAAGAAAGAACAGUGUUUGCUCAGUGUCUGCAUAUUUCAUGCACAUUGGUGCAAGAGCAUAUUAGCUGUAACCCUCACUUUGCAUUGUUGAUUAAAGAAAAAAUGACAGAGGAAAGAAUGAGACUUUCAGUGCAGCUGGGUCAGCUCGUACCACGGGACUCCUGUCUGGCACUGGUGUGGCCCAGCUGCGCAGAGUAUCUUAUGCCAAUGUCACGACCCAGCUACUACAAACGAGAGCUAUUGCACAGUGGUAGCAACAGGCUGCCGGGGCUGUAAAUACACAGCCCUGUCUCGUCCCCAGCCACCUGGAACCAUGCCUGGCUGAGGAAAGUUCCUGCUCACAGACUGGCACCAACGGAGACAUUGAUGCACUCCAGAAUUUAUGUCCCUCUACACUUCAGCUGCUUACAAUAACUUUCCCCAUGAAGUACCAGGAGGUGGGCUGGGCUGUCAGUGCCAGGCUCACCACCCCCAGAAAGAAACCCUAUGCAUUUCCCCAUGCAUAUCCAGCCCCGACAGCCAUCCUUCUCCAUGACCCACCAUCACAUAACAAGCUGCCCAUAGAGAAAUACUCUGAAGAAGCUAUUUCACGUUAUUUUUUACAGAAUUUGAGCCUCGGCCCACCAAAACACACCCAUGAAGGUCUCUGGAUUGUCCUUUAAAGAAUUAUAUCACCAUACCAAAAUGAAAAUGACAUUUGUUUCUGAUGCUGUAAGUGAACUGCAGGAGGUUGUGGAAGACAUUUUCAGCAGCAAGGAAUUAAACUAACAACACCCCACCCCACCCCAACAAUAACAGUGCAGCAAGCUUUGAGACAACUUAAAUACAUCUGACUCCAGGUCUAGUCCUGCCAGCCAAAUAGGGCAACGUUAUGUUGGGGAAGUAAGGCUUGGAAACCUAGCGUGGCCUGUUCUGCUCAUCCCUCCCAGCCUUCUGGAUCCCUGCUGAAGUUCUAAGAGUUUUAGGGAAAAAAACAGCAAGUGGGUAUCCUGGACCCUUUUGAGAAGGGUAGCAAUGACUGAAGAAAACGUACUUUGAUUUUGGUGCACACAUGAGUGAGACUCAAGGACGUAUUUCUGUAAAAACUAAUAGCAAUAUGCACUGUGUCAGCCUAUCAGGUGAUGGGAGAACCAGCAAGAGAGCUUAAGAAACUGCAUUGCCAUGGAAAUAAGAUGAUGCUGCUGACAGUGUGCCUCAGCUUGGGAAAAAUGAUGGGACAAGAUAAAAAUACCAGGGGAACACAGUGCUAUCAGGACUGACUUCAAGUGUAUAUACCUGCAACACGUUCUCAUGUGUUAGCAGUAAUGCAUGGACUUUUAUUUAUGCUUUUAAUACAGACCAAACAAACCCAAGAGUAAGUCAUGUAGAAACUUAAAAUUACUAUUUCCUUCUCAAUUCUCCCCAAGGGACUUCAGGUCUAAUUUAAGCAUAGAAAAUUAGAGGCAUCAAGACUACUCAGGGGUGAAACUAUGAUCUGGGGGCAAAAAAAAGGUGAUUGAUUCUUCGGGAAAAUAUCUAUUCCCUUUUAAAAUGGGAAAAAAGGGUACCUGUUUGGGGUAUUCACACACCCAGAAGACUGAUGCAUUUACAGUGCAAAAAAAUAACAUACCAUCCAUGCUGAGAAGUCAGGAUCUGUCAACUGACCUCACCGUGACUGCACAAGGAGCAUUACUGCCAAAGGCAAACUUCAAAGAAUUUUCAGAUACUGAAUGUCUGUCUUUUGUUUUGUUAUGUUAAU